rnacentral:rRNA from 1 species
UACAGAGGGUGCGAGCGUUAAUCGGAAUUACUGGGCGUAAAGCGUGCGCAGGCGGUCUGCUAAGAGAGAUGUGAAAUCCCCGGGCUUAACCUGGGAACUGCGUUUCUAACUGGCAGGCUAGGAGUGUGGCAGAGGGGGGUGGAAUUCCACGUGUAGCAGUGAAAUGCGUAGAGAUGUGGAGGAACACCGAUGGCGAAGGCAGCCCCCUGGGCUAACACUGACGCUCAUGCACGAAAGCGUGGGGAGCAAACAGG